rnacentral:miRNA from 1 species
UAGUAUUUGUUAGUUAGUGGGUC